AAGCGGAGGAAAAGAAACUAACAAGGAUUCCCCUAGUAGCGGCGAGCGAAGCGGGAAGAGCUCAAAUUUAUAAUCUGGCACCUUCGGUGUCCGAGUUGUAAUCUCUAGAAAUGUUUUCCGCGUUGGACCGCACACAAGUCUGUUGGAAUACAGCGGCAUAGUGGUGAGACCCCCGUAUAUGGUGCGGACGCCCAGCGCUUUGUGAUACAUUUUCGAAGAGUCGAGUUGUUUGGGAAUGCAGCUCAAAUUGGGUGGUAAAUUCCAUCUAAAGCUAAAUAUUGGCGAGAGACCGAUAGCGAACAAGUACCGUGAGGGAAAGAUGAAAAGCACUUUGGAAAGAGAGUUAACAGUACGUGAAAUUGUUGGAAGGGAAACGCUUGAAGUCAGACUUGCUUGCUGAGCAAUCGGUUUGCAGGCCAGCAUCAGUUUUCCGGGAUGGAUAAUGGUAGAGAGAAGGUAGCAGUUUCGGCUGUGUUAUAGCUCUCUGCUGGAUACAUCUUGGGGGACUGAGGAACGCAGUGUGCCUUUGGCGGGGGUUUCGACCUCUUCACACUUAGGAUGCUGGUGGAAUGGC
rnacentral:rRNA from 1 species